UACGAAGGGGGCUAGCGUUGCUCGGAAUCACUGGGCGUAAAGGGUGCGUAGGCGGGUCUUUUAAGUCAGGGGUGAAAUCCUGGAGCUCAACUCCAGAACUGCCUUUGAUACUGAGGAUCUUGAGUUCGGGAGAGGUGAGUGGAACUGCGAGUGUAGAGGUGAAAUUCGUAAGAUAUUCGCAAGAACACCAGUGGCGAAGGCGGCUCACUGGCCCGAUACCUGACGCUGAGGCACGAAAAGCGUGGGGGAGCAAACAGG
rnacentral:rRNA from 1 species